GCUGCAGGGAAGGUACGAGGAGGUGGAGGUGCCGCUACUGGUGGCGCAUGGCGGCGACGAUGUAGUGUGCGACCCUGCGUGCGUGGAGGAGUUGUACGCGCGUGCUGCGAGUAAGGAUAAGACGCUGAAGAUAUAUCCGGAAAUGUGGCACCAGAUGAUUGGGGAACCUGAAGAGAACGUGGAGUUGGUUUUUGGGGAUAUGUUAGAGUGGCUUCGAACACGUGCCCAACGCGCCACCGCGCACGGUUCCGCUUAAGUGCUAUAGUAGUUUGUUUUAUUAUAUCAUACAUUAUUAUAUAAUAUAAUAAGAUAAUAAUGUUUUUUAUAGGUUUGUUGGUGUUUAUUGUCCAUAUAUAUGGCUCUCAGUUAAUCAUUAACUAUUUUUAAGUUAAAUUUUUAAAUAGAGUUUUUCCA
rnacentral:lncRNA from 1 species